GUGCCAGCAGCCGCGGUAAUACGUAGGGGGCAAGCGUUGUCCGGAUUUAUUGGGCGUAAAGAGCGUGUAGGCGGCCAGGCAGGUCCGCUGUGAAAACUCGAGGCUCAACCUCGAGAUGUCGGUGGAAACCGCCUGGCUAGAGUCCGGAAGAGGAGAGUGGAAUUCCUGGUGUAGCGGUGAAAUGCGCAGAUAUCAGGAAGAACACCCAUGGCGAAGGCAGCUCUCUGGGACGGUACUGACGCUGAGACGCGAAAGCGUGGGGAGCGAACAGGAUUAGAAACCCGUGUAGUCC
rnacentral:rRNA from 1 species